rnacentral:lncRNA from 1 species
GAGAGAGAGAGAGGGAGAGCAAGAAUCCCAAGCAGGCUCCACAGCUGUCAGCACAGAGUCCGAGCUCACAAACUGUGAGAUGGUGACCUGAGCUGAAAUCAAGAGUUGAAGUCACUCAGAUGCCCUGGAGGCUAGUUUCAUUUCAGAAGGCUCUGUCCCAGCACUGACAGAUGGUGUAGCCAUUCUGGGGGCCUGUAAGUAACCAACUCCACCAGUGCUAUGGUCUACUCCUUUCCUUCUUUUCUUUUCCUUUUCGAAGAUACCCAUUAGGGGGUACCUGGGUGGUUCAGUUCAUUGAACAUCCGACUUUGGCUCAGGUCAUGAUCUCACUGUUGGUGAGCUCGAGCCCCACUUUGGGUGAGCUUGAGCCUGCCCUGGCCUCUGCAUUCUCUCUCCCUUUCUCUCUGCACCUCAGAGGAAUUCUCUGUCUCUUUCUCCCCCUCACUCUCUCAAAAAUAAAUAAAUAAAUAAAUAAAUAAAUAAAUAAAUAAAUAAAUAAAAGAAGGUACCCUUCAGAAGGUUGAUAAAGUUCCCUUUUAUCCUAAUUUUCUGAGAGUUUUUAUCAAAAUGGGUGUUAAUUUUGUGAAAUGAUUUUCUGCAUCUAUUUAGAUGACCAUAUGGUUUUCUCUUUUAGUUUGUUAUUGUCGUUAUUGUGAUGAAUUCCAUUGACUGUCUUUUUUUUUUUAAAUUUUUUUUUUUCAACGUUUAUUUAUUUUUGGGACAGAGAGAGACAGAGCAUGAACGGGGGAGGGGCAGAGAGAGAGGGAGACACAGAAUCGGAAACAGGCUCCAGGCUCUGAGCCAUCAGCCCAGAGCCCGACGCGGGGCUCGAACUCACCGACCGCGAGAUCAUGACCUGGCUGAAGUCGGACGCUCAACCGACUGCGCCACCCAGGCGCCCCUGUCUUUUUUUUUUAAAUGUGUAAUAUUUAUUUUGAGAGAGAGAAAAGGCAUGAGUGGGGGAGGGGCAGAGAGAGAGGGAGACAGAUAAUGCCAACCAGGCUCCAAGCUCAGCACAAAGCCCCAUGCAGGGCUGGAACUCAAGAACCGGGAGAUCACGACCGAAGCCAAAAUUAAGAGCUGAUUGCUUAACCAACUGAGCCACCCAGGUGCCCCCAUUAAUUGAUUUUGAAAUGCUAAUCCAAUUCUACAUUUCUGGGAUAAACCCCACUUGGUUAUAAUGUAUUAUCAUUUUAAUGUAUUAUAGAAUUUGAUUUGCCAAAAUUUUGUUUAGAAUUUUUGCAUCUAUUUAGAAGUGUGCUAGUUUGUUUCCAGAUAUUUGGGGAUUUUCCAAGGAUCUUUCUGUUACUGGUCUCUGUCCACUGGAUCUGUUCAUUUCUGAGAGAGGGUUGUUGAAGUCUCUGGCUAUGAAAGGGGAUUCACCUGUUAUUGGUUUCUAAUCCAAUUUCAUUUUGGUCAGGGAGUAUACUUUGUACGACUUUAAUUCUUGUUUUAUGGCCCAAAAUAUGUUCUAUACAUUGGUAAUGUAAUGUACAUUUGAGAGGAAUGUGUAUUCUUCUGUUGUUGGCUGGACUAUAAAGGUAAACCAGGUCAAAUUGGUUAGUAGUGUUAUUACAAACUGAAUCAUAGUCCCUCCCAAAUCCCAUGGAGAAGCCCUAACCACCAAUGUGACUAUAUUUGCCGAUAGGGCCUUUAAAGAGGUCAUUAAGGUUCAAUGAGUCCAUAAGGGUGGGGCCGUAAUCCAAAAAGACCAAUGUCCUUGUAAGAAGAGGAAGAGAUACCACAGAAUGACCACACAAAGAAAAAAAGGCCGAGUGAGGACAUGGCGAUAAGGCAGCCAUCCACAAGCCAAGGAGAGAAGCCACAGGCGAAGUCAACUCUGCCAACACCUUGAUCUUGGACUUCCAGUCUCCAGAACUGUGAGAAAAGAAAUUUCUGUUAAGUCACCCAGUCUGUGGUAUUUUGUUUGGCAGCCUGUGCUGACCAUACAGUGUUGUUCACAUCUACUAUAUCAUUGCUGAUUUUCUGCCUAUCUGUUCUAUCAGCUUUUGAAAGCGGGGUAUUGAAAUUUCCGAUUUUCCUUGUGGUUAGACAAGUUUUGGUUUCGUGUAUUUUGAUCCACAGUUAUUAGGUGAAUGAAUGUUUAGGAGUGUUAUGUUCUCUUGAUUACUUGGCUACUUUAUCAUUAUGAAAUGACCUUUGCUGUGGUAUGUCCUUUGCUCUGGAAUCUACACUGUGAGAUUUUUAGAUAGUCACUCUAGCUUUCUUUUCACUAGUGUUAGCACAGUGUAUAUGUUUCCAUUCUUUUACUUUUAACCUGUUUCUGGUUUUAUAUUUAAAGUGUGUUUCUUGUAGGAAGCAUACAGUAGUGUCUUGUCUUUUCAUCUAAUCUGGCAAUCUGUGCCCUUUAAUUUGGGUGUUUAGGCCAUUUAUAUUCAGUGUGAUUAUUGCCCUGGUCCGGUUCAAAUCUAUCAUCUUGCUAUUUAUUUUCUGUUUGUUCUAUCUGUUCUUUGUGCCCUUUUUUCUCUUUUUUCCUGCCAUCUUUUGGAUUGAGUAUUGUUAUGAUUAUUCUAUGUUAUCUCUUUUGUGGACCUCUGAGCUGUAACUCUGUUAUUUUAGUGAUUGCUUUAGGCUCUAUAAUAAACCUUUAACUUAUCAUAAUCUACCUCUGAGUGACAAUAUACCACUUCAUAUAUAGUACAAGAACCUCACACAGUAUACCUCUCUUUCUCCCCUCUUGAGAUUUAUGCUCUUGUCAUGCAUUAUAUUUUUACCUAUGUUAUAAACCCCAGAACAUGUUAUCAUGAUUAUUUUUAAACAGGCAAUUAUCUUGUAAAGAGAUUAAAGGAGGGGCACCUGGGUUGCUCAGUAGGUUAAACAUCUGACUUCAGCUUAGGUCAUGAUCUCACGGUUUGUGGGUUUGAGCCCCGUGUCGGACUCUGUGCUGACAGCUCAGAGCCUGAAGCCUGCUUUGGAUUCUGUGUCUCCCUCUCUCUCUGCCCCUCCCCCACUUGCACUCUGUCUCUCUGUCUCUCGAAAGUAAAUAAAUGCUAAAAAAAAUUUAAAAAGCUUAAAGGAACAUUUUAAAGAGAUUUACCUAUGCAAAAUCUUGUUUAUUUACCUAUAUAGUUAUCACUUCCAGUGCUCUUCAUUCCUUUGUGUGGGUCCUGAUUUCUAUCUGGUAUCAUUUGCCUUCUGUCUGAAGGACAUCCAUCCUUUAACAUUUCUUGUACUGAAGGUCUGUUGGUGAUGAAUUCUUCCAGCUUUUGUAUAUCUGAAAGCAACUUUUUAAUGCUUUCAGAUCCUAUUUUUUUUAAUGUUUAUUUGAGAGAGAAAGAGAGAGAGAGUACAAGUUUGGGAACGGCAGAAAGAGAGAGGGAGACAGAGAAUUGCAAGCCGACUCCACACUAUCAGUGCAGAGCCCAACGCAGGGCUCGAACCCACGAACUGUGAGAUUAUGAUCUGAGCUGGUAGCAAGAGUCAGACGCUUAACCAACUGAGCCACCCAGGUGCCCCUAUUUCUCCUACUUUUAAAGUUAAGUUUUUUUUUUAAGCUUUUCAUUUUGAGAUAAUGGUAGAUUCAAAUGCAAUUGUAAGAAAUAAUACAGAGAGAUCCGUGUUCUCUUUUAAAAAUUUCCCCCAAUGGAAACAUCUUGCAAAAUUAUAGUAUACUGUCACAACCAGGAGAUCCCUCAACUCAAGGAGCCCACUGGUCUCUAUCUCAUUCCCUAGCCUUUUACUGGGUCUGGAAACUCUUAAGACAGUAAGCCAGGGGCAAUCACAGGGCUGUCCUUGUUUAUUUCCUGUUUCUCAGGGAUUACUGUCCUUCAUUGCGUGAUGUCCAGUAUCUUAAAAACCAUUGUUUUAUUUAUAUUGUCUGGGAUUUUUUGGUUCUUUCAGAUGGGAGGUUAUAUUUAUUCCCUGUUACUUCAUCUUGGUUGGAAAUAGAAGUGUCUGCUCGUUUUCUUAAUGACUCCACACAAUCCCCCAAACCAAGGACUUGGGUGAUUUUCCCAAAACAAUGAUAUAACUCUGGCCAGAGCCUCUGUAAAAGCUGCUGUUUCCCUGAAACUGUGUCCCCCCCCCCCCACACACACACACUGGCAAUAGUUUCUGUACAGAGAACAUCCUUCCUCUUGAGAAGACCUGUCUGUCAUCCCUGGAUUUAAUUCUGAGUGCACAGCUAAGGGCUUGACAUAGAAACAGCCUAGGGGCGUCUGGCUGUCUCAGUCAGUAGAGUGCGUGACUUUUGAUCUCGGGGUUGUGAGUUCAAGCCAGACGUUAGAUACAGAGAUUACUUAAAAAUAAAAUCUUUCUGCCUGUCAGCUAUUCUAUAGGAAAUCGAAAUCUUUAGGUGUAGAAUGAAUAUUCUGUGAACCUUCUGAAACCUUUUUCCCAUAUUGUGGAGUAUUCCAUCAUUGGCUUUAAUAUUUAAAGAGAUUUACCAAUAUAUUUAUAGGGAACAAAAACAUCUAGGGGCACCUGGGUGGCUCAGUUGGUUAAGCAUCUGACGUUGGCUCAGGUCAUGAUGUCACAGUUCCUUGUGGGUUCGAGGCCCACAUCGGGCUCUGGGCUGGCAGUUCGGAGUCUGCUUCAGAUUCUGUGUCUCCUUCUCUCUGUGCCCCUCCCCUGCUCACACUCUGUCUCUCUCAAAAAUAAAUAAAUAAACAUUUAAAAAGAGAGAGAGAGAACAAGCACCUCUAUUACAUUCAACUUAUUUACAGAAGAGAAUGAAGGCAUCUUCUCUGUAUGUUAUGGACUGAAUGUUGUGUCCCCUCAAAAUUUAUGUGUUGAAACUGUAACCCCCAGUGUGGCUGUAUUUAGAGAUGGGGUCUCUAACAGACUAAUUAAGGUUAAAUUAGGUCAUAAGAGUUGGGUCCUGACCUGAUGGAUUAGUGUUCUGAUAGGAAGAAACACCAGAAAGUACUCAUGCGCUCAUCCUCUCUCUCUCUCUCUCUCUCUCUCUCCCUCCCUCUCCCCACCACCCCACUCUUCUCCCUCUCCCUCCCUCCUUUCCAGCUUCCUUCUCUCCUCCUUCACAAAGAAGAGGUCAUGUGAGCCCACAAUGAGAUGGCUGCCACCUACAAGCCAAGAGAAGAGAUCUCAGAAUGAAACCUACCUUGAUAGCACCUUGAUCUUGGACUUCCAGCCUCCAUAACUGUGAGAG